rnacentral:rRNA from 1 species
UACGUAGGGGGCGAGCGUUGUCCGGAAUUACUGGGCGUAAAGGGCGCGCAGGCGGCCGUGUAAGUCCGCUGUGAAAGACCGGGGCUCAACCCCGGGCUUGCAGUGGAUACGGGCAGGCUGGAGGCAGGCAGGGGAGAACGGAAUUCCCGGUGUAGCGGUGAAAUGCGCAGAUAUCGGGAGGAACACCGGUGGCGAAGGCGGUUCUCUGGGCCUGUACUGACGCUGAGGAGCGAAAGCGUGGGGAGCGAACAGG